rnacentral:lncRNA from 1 species
UUUCAUUUUUUUUGUUCUAUGUUGUAAUUUUUAAUAACUUUUUCCCUUCAAAAUUUUCUUUCUUUUUGCUUUUUUUUUUUCAUCUGCUUUCAGUGUUGCUUGUUUUAAUUUUUUUGUUGUUUUAAAAUUUUUUAUAUUUCUUUUUCCUUUUUUAUUCCAAAUCUUUUGUCUUUUCAUUUUUAUUCUUUUCUUGCUUUUCUUAUUUUUUUCACAAAUUUCCUUUCAUUUCUUAUUUGCAUCUUUAAAUUAUUAGACUUUUUUUGUGCACUUUCUUUUGUUUUUAUUUUAUUUUUUAUCUUUGAUUUUUAUAUCUUUUUCCUAUAUUUGUUAUAUUUUUUUUUGUUUUUCUUUGUAUAUUCUGAACUAAAAGUUUUUUCUAUUUUGUAUUUGAAAUUUUUAUUCAUUUUGUCUUUUAUAUUUUUUUAUUCGCUAAUUUUUUAAUAUCUUACUUUUUUAUUUUUUGCUUUUUUGGUAUUUUAUUGAAUUUUUUCUUCUAUAUUAAUAUUUUAUCUUAAUUUAUUUUUCCAUUUAUUUUUAUUUAUAUUUUAAAAAAUUUUUAUAAAGUUUAAAAUUUUUUUUAUUUUCUUUUUUUUUUUUGCUAUUUUUGUUCUACUUUGUAAUUUUUUAAUAACUUUUUCCCUUCAAAAUUUUCCUUCUUUUUGCUUUUUUUCAUAUGCUUUCAUUUUUACUUGUUUUAAUUUUUUCGUUAUUUUAAAAAUUUUUAUUUUUUUCUUUUUU